UAUCAAUCACUUUGAAGCAGAAUACUUUUCUAUUUUUAUGGACCCACUCCUCCAUACAACAGUAAGGGUUUACACAUCCUUGCUUCCAAGGACAGUUUAAAAUUGCAGCCUAAACGUUAAUCUAUUGGUGGAGAUGGAUUGCUGAGGGCCGUCAGUGACAGCGUAGGCCCACAAAGAAGGCAUCUUAAAAACUCUGAGUUUCUGCAGAUUCUAUCAUCCACUUGCACACAAGGAGCAAUUUACAUCUCCAAUUAUCCAACAAACUCGCGCGUCUUUGGAACGUUGAAGGAAAAUGGACACCUAGAAACUAUGGGAUUACAGAGAGAAGGCAAACCCCACACAGGGUUCCUGAGGUCAGGAUUGAAUCUGGGACUAUGCUGAUAUGAGACAAUGGUUCUCUGAAGUGCCCCACUGUGUUUCUGAAUCCAGGAAGUCGACCUGGCAUGUUCAACUCAAGAUAUCUUGGAUUACGGAAGCAUUCUUUAAAAAAAUUAUUUCGCAACUAAGCAACAGUUGGGAAAAUUGAAAGAUCGUCCACUCAACUACUCAAAUUUCUCAUGACCCUCAAUCCCACUUGUUGGUGUAUGUCUCUCCAGUUUCUGGAGACACUCAUUUUGUUUUCUGGAGACACAUAUUUAUUUUUCCUUCAUUUAGUGAAAGAAUAAGCAAUUCCUCCUUAUUGUGUCCCCUUACAUUUGGAAACACAAUGUCUUCAAUUUAUUUAUUAAGUUGAAGGACUUGGGGAAGGGAGGGAGGGGGGAUGGUUUCUGUUGUAUCAGAUAAUCCUUUAUUACAUUGUGUGGCAAAAUGAAAUCUGUUGUAGGCUGUAGAAUUUGGAAGUGCUGAAGUUAAUCUGCAAGGCCUGGGCUUAACAUUGGAAUUAAACCUAUGAUUAAUACCUGACCAGUCCUCUGAAGAUGUCGUUUUAUGCUUGAGCUAAUUUUACAUAUAUGCUACACACACAAAUCCGCCUCCAAACCUAGUACCUGCAUGCUCCCAUCUAAGCAGAAUGAUAAAUGCUCUUUACAGGACAGCACAGUGGCGCAGCGGUAGAGUUGCUGCCUUACAGCAACAGAGAUCCUGGUUCGAUCCUGACUAGGGGUACUGUCUGUAUGGAGUAUGUACGUUUUCCCUGUAACUAUGUGGGUUUUCUCCGGGUUAUCUGGUUUCCUCCCAUACUCCAAAAAUAUACAGGUUGGUAGGUUAAUUGGCUUAGGUAAAAAAAAAUUAAGAUGUUCUUAGUGUCUAGGAUAGUGUAUGGGGUGAUUGCUCGUCGGCACGGACUCGGUGGGUUGAAGGGCCUGUUUCUCUGUUGUAUCUCUGAUGUCUAAAGAU